GGUGAGUAACACGUGGGUAACCUACCUAUAAGACUGGAAUAACUCCGGGAAACCGGGGCUAAUGCCGGAUAACAUGUUGAACCGCAUGGUUCUACAGUGAAAGACGGUCUUGCUGUCACUUAUAGAUGGACCCGCGCCGUAUUAGCUAGUUGGUGGGGUAACGGCCUACCAAGGCGACGAUACGUAGCCGACCUGAGAGGGUGAUCGGCCACACUGGAACUGAGACACGGUCCAGACUCCUACGGGAGGCAGCAGUAGGGAAUCUUCCGCAAUGGGCGAAAGCCUGACGGAGCAACGCCGCGUGAGUGAUGAAGGUCUUCGGAUCGUAAAGCUCUGUUGUUAGGGAAGAAC
rnacentral:rRNA from 1 species